rnacentral:rRNA from 1 species
UACGGAGGGGGCGAGCGUUAUUCGGAAUUAUUGGGCGUAAAGGGCGCGUAGGCGGCUGAACAAGUCAAAGGUGAAAUCCCUCGGCUCAACUGAGGAACUGCCUUUAAGACUGCAUCGCUAGAAUUGUGGAGAGGUAAGUGGAAUUCCGAGUGUAGAGGUGAAAUUCGUAGAUAUUCGGAAGAACACCAGUGGCGAAGGCGACUUACUGGACACAUAUUGACGCUGAGGUGCGAAAGCGUGGGGAGCAAACAGG